GGUUGGAGGACAGGCCAAUCGCUCCCGGCUAUUUGAGCCAAUGGUGAAGUUCCUGAUGCCCACACCUGCUGGUCUCACCGCGAAGGCCUGGGCGUCACAGGCAGGGGGAAUGGGGAGGGGACGGUAGCGUCAGCCUAGACCCACACGCAGUUUCCUGAUAAAAGGUCCUUUUGAAACAUUCAUUCUCUUCUCACCAAGUUGAACGGAGAUGUGUUCCCAUAGUAAGAGUGAGGCCCCUGCAUUUGCUGCCCUCGGUUUUUCCAACCAACACCAUGGCCUCCCCCCGUACCCCAUUCAUACGCCUCAGAAGCUGACAAUGACUGUUGGGCUUUUCCAAUGAAUACCAGAACACCAUUUCCUGCAGCCUGAAAAGAAGACAGUAUAAUUAUUUGGCAGCAAGAGGCCAAGCAGGAAACUAGAGAUAUGGUGAUGGUAGUGGUCCCAAGGAGGAGCUUUAACAUGAGCACCACCCACAGGAGGCAGACCACCCUCCUGGCUGCAGUGCGUAUGAAUGUUGGCCCCCACCCAGGUCCUCAAGUG
rnacentral:lncRNA from 1 species